GCGCGUCGGCGUUGUAAAGAAAAUUGCCCACUCAAAGCGAAGGCCGCCCGAGACAUUGGACGUGAUCCAUGUCGGGCAUCAGGAGCCCCAGGCUAGAGGUCCCUGGAGACAGGACGCUGGCAGACUUUCCAUAGCUGCUUGUUAGGAAAAUUUUGGUGACAUGUUUUUGUAUAUCCAUCCAGUAUUUUUCUAGGCACCUCCUCGGCGCCUAGGAAAAAAAGCUGGGCAGAAAACGGGGAGAUCUUUAUGGUUCCAGAGUUUAAAAGAGCUCACAUCUUACAGGAUCAACCAAGGGUGAUGGUAGAACAUGAAGACUUCUUAUCUAUUUGGUUAGGCUCUUCAAAGCAGCAAGGAAAGAGUGCAUGCACCUGGAUCCUCCUCGCCAAUAAGGAAACCCAGAGUGCCAUCUCUUUAAGUGAGACACGUAUCAGAACAUGGCAUCGACCCCAGAAAUUGCACAGAGCCAGAGUGUCCCCAGCAUCAACACCUUUCAGGAGAGAAACUGAAUUCAUUUGCCAACAACCAACUCCAUCGGACAGUGCCAGAAAGUACGGGACUGCUUGCGUUCAUUUCUUCGAGAUGAGUCAGGGUUGCAGGGUGUCGAUGAUUAGAUGUAAAUGUUAAACCAAAAGCCCAUGGUGGUCACUUUGGCUUUCCUUCUGUGGAAAUCCAGCUUCUCACUUGGGGGGAAGGGGUUGUGUUACAUGUGAUAUUGGCAUGUUGCUCUGGUUUCCUGAAGCCCCCAUUUUUUGGGUCUCUCUGUGCCCUUCCCAUAUACACAAACACAUUUUCAGGUAAAACAUCUGGAAGGUCCUAUUUCAAAAGAGCAUGGCCAAGAAAAUCUUUCCAUUUGUAAAAAUAAUGUAAACCCUUUAGACUGUAAUGUCCUGCAGAGCAGGGGAAUUAUACAACAGCAAUAAAAUUGUCAGCUUUCAAUAAUCAGCCACAUUUUUUAUGGUAUUUUGUCACUGGGAAAGCACUUUUUAAUAAUCA
rnacentral:lncRNA from 1 species